AAUAGGCUAAUUAAGAGCGUAAGGGGAAUGCCUUGGCUCUCAGAGGCGAUGAAGGACGUGAUAAGCUGCGAUAAGCUGUGGGGAGUGGCACAAACACUUUGAUCCGCAGAUUUCCGAAUGGGGUAACCCGGCAUAUUGAAGAUAUGUCACACUGUAAAGUGAGCGAACCUGGUGAACUGAAACAUCUAAGUAACCAGAGGAAUAGAAAACAAAAGUGAUUCCGCUAGUAGUGGCGAGCGAACGUGGAACAGCCUAAACCUAUGUUGUUAAGGCAAUAUAGGGGUUGUAGGACCUCAACAUUUAAUGCUAAUAGAACUAGAAUUUACUGGAAAGUAAAAC
rnacentral:rRNA from 1 species